AGAGUUUGAUCAUGGCUCAGAUUGAACGCUGGCGGCAGGCCUAACACAUGCAAGUCGAACGGUAACAGGAAGCAGCUUGCUGCUUCGCUGACGAGUGGCGGACGGGUGAGUAAUGUCUGGGAAGCUGCCUGAUGGAGGGGGAUAACUACUGGAGACGGUAGCUAAUACCGCAUAAUGUCGCAAGACCAAAGAGGGGGACCUUCGGGCCUCUUGCCAUCGGAUGUGCCCAGAUGGGAUUAGCUUGUUGGUGGGGUAACGGCUCACCAAGGCGACGAUCCCUAGCUGGUCUGAGAGGAUGACCAGCCACACUGGAACUGAGACACGGUCCAGACUCCUACGGGAGGCAGCAGUGGGGAAUAUUGCACAAUGGGCGCAAGCCUGAUGCAGCCAUGCCGCGUGUAUGAAGAAGGCCUUCGGGUUGUAAAGUACUUUCAGCGGGGAGGAAGGGAGUAAAGUUAAUACCUUUGCUCAUUGACGUUACCCGCAGAAGAAGCACCGGCUAACUCCGUGCCAGCAGCCGCGGUAAUACGGAGGGUGCAAGCGUUAAUCGGAAUUACUGGGCGUAAAGCGCACGCAGGCGGUUUGUUAAGUCAGAUGUGAAAUCCCCGGGCUCAACCUGGGAACUGCAUCUGAUACUGGCAAGCUUGAGUCUCGUAGAGGGGGGUAGAAUUCCAGGUGUAGCGGUGAAAUGCGUAGAGAUCUGGAGGAAUACCGGUGGCGAAGGCGGCCCCCUGGACGAAGACUGACGCUCAGGUGCGAAAGCGUGGGGAGCAAACAGGAUUAGAUACCCUGGUAGUCCACGCCGUAAACGAUGUCGACUUGGAGGUUGUGCCCUUGAGGCGUGGCUUCCGGAGCUAACGCGUUAAGUCGACCGCCUGGGGAGUACGGCCGCAAGGUUAAAACUCAAAUGAAUUGACGGGGGCCCGCACAAGCGGUGGAGCAUGUGGUUUAAUUCGAUGCAACGCGAAGAACCUUACCUGGUCUUGACAUCCACGGAAGUUUUCAGAGAUGAGAAUGUGCCUUCGGGAACCGUGAGACAGGUGCUGCAUGGCUGUCGUCAGCUCGUGUUGUGAAAUGUUGGGUUAAGUCCCGCAACGAGCGCAACCCUUAUCCUUUGUUGCCAGCGGUCCGGCCGGGAACUCAAAGGAGACUGCCAGUGAUAAACUGGAGGAAGGUGGGGAUGACGUCAAGUCAUCAUGGCCCUUACGACCAGGGCUACACACGUGCUACAAUGGCGCAUACAAAGAGAAGCGACCUCGCGAGAGCAAGCGGACCUCAUAAAGUGCGUCGUAGUCCGGAUUGGAGUCUGCAACUCGACUCCAUGAAGUCGGAAUCGCUAGUAAUCGUGGAUCUGAAUGCCACGGUGAAUACGUUCCCGGGCCUUGUACACACCGCCCGUCACACCAUGGGAGUGGGUUGCAAAAGAAGUAGGUAGCUUAACCUUCGGGAGGGCGCUUACCACUUUGUGAUUCAUGACUGGGGUGAAGUCGUAACAAGGUA
rnacentral:rRNA from 1 species